rnacentral:misc_RNA from 2 species
AACGCACAUUGCACUCUCUGGUAUUCCGGAGAGUAUGCUUGUUUGAGUAUCUGUAAACAUCUCAAAUCUCUCUUCGCUUGCGUCGAGAGAAUUGGAUUUGAGCGAUCCCGACUCCUUCGUCAGAAAGAGGAGGGUCGCUUGAAAUGCAGGUACCAGCUGGACAUUCUUCUGAGCUAAAAGCAUAUCUAUUUAGUCCCGUCAAACGGAUUAUUACUUUUGCUUCAGCUAAUAUAAAGGUCGAAUGAACUACCAACGCUGAUUGCAGGAAAACUUGUUCGUUUAUUCGGACUUGUAAACUCGAUCUCAAAUCAAGUAAGACUACCCGCUGAACUUAA